AAAAAAAAAAUUUUAAUAAGAGAGAAAGAUACCUUUAGGCCUACACACUGAAAUAUUUUGAUCUGAAGUGAUAUAAUAUCUAGGAGUAGCUAUCAAAUAAUCCAGAGGAAGGAAGGGAGGGAUAAGAACGUGAGUAAAAUAAGGUUGUUCCUCAGUGGAAGUGGUGGUGCAUGCUUUUAAUCCCAUCAUCAGGAAAAAGCAGGUGGAUCUCUGUGAAUUAGAGGCUAGCCUGGUCUACAUAGCAAGUUCCAGGCCAGCCAAGGCUACAAUAGGGAGACCCUGUCUCAGAAAAAUAAAUAAAUAACAUAACAAAACCUGCUGAGCCAACUCACCAGACUCUACUAAGGUAACAAUUUGAAAUUAAAAAAAAAAAAUCGUUUAGAUGCAUAGCAUGGUGUAUUUGAGAGAGGGUGUGGUUUGGUUUCGUUUGUUUUGUGGCACAUAGGCUAAGCAGAUAGUUAGCCAUUUAGCUCCCACACCCAGCCUAUUUGACUAUUUUGAAAUCCAUGUUAUUAUUGAUCAGCUGCCAAAAGUCUGCAAGGCCCUGACGAAUGGCUCUGGGGCUUGUGUUUUUCUGCACGUGAGGCCAGAGUUCUCACUCCCUGUCCACUGUUAGAACAAUGAAGGAGGCGUCUCUAGGAAAGAGGGAAGCAGUCUGUGAACCCAUUUGGCUGCCUGUGACCAUAGACAGUAAAAAUGUUGUGAUCAGAGGGACACCGAUACCUCUGUGUGAAUGAGGCCCAGAGUUGGCAAGGUAUCUGAUUCAGUGACCAGAAGACCUCCCGAGUGACCCUCAAAUGAACCAAAGCAAAGGCAAUUACACCUGAGCACCCGUCGCCAGUCACGCUGUACAGGUGCCAGGGUGGGAGAUUUCCAGGUUGGAGGAUCUCUGCUCACUCCAGGCAUAGCUCCUGACUGGAGUCAUACAGGACUGGGCUGAGUUUGCUGAGUUAAGCCAUGGACACAACGAGGUCCUGAGUCUUGCUGGUGAAAAUGAAAACAAUUGUUUGGUGAGUGAACUGCUUGCCCAAAACAACAGUCUGAAGCCCUGGGGGUGGGGGAGGAGCCCACCACUGUUUGCCACAAUGAGGAGCUUGUGCUAGACUGAAGGCUACAGAAACCUUGUGAAGCCAACACCCACAGCAUCAUCUUAAAUAACAAGAAUUCCCGGGAUAAAAAUGGAAACAACGAUUUCUUUCCUGUGUUUUGAAAGCCAGAAGAACUCCCUGCUUUGGUUCUGGUGACGCCCCAGGGACACUUGAGCUGAGAAUAUCUCUUUCCAGGAAGGAGCCACCAGUAUGAAAGCGCAGAUUCCCUUUUACCCCGCACAACUGAAAACAAAGCACUGGCCCCUCAAUGGGCCUAGACCAGACACAGUCACGACAGGAACGCCCUUGCCUCAGUACAGCUGCCAGGGGUUCCAUCCAGAACUUAAAACUGCAAACCCAUGGGGUUUGGGAAGAAGAGACCCAUGCCUGGGAUCACCAAUGUAUGUAUGGGUAAGGUGGAGCGGUCAGCCACCAAAGAAGCAGGAAUGGGGGGGCAGUUUCUGGACCACACCAUUUCAAUAAAUGAAGACAAAAGAAGAGAAACCUCUAGGGUAAUGAACCCUCGAAAAACUCCACCAAGACUGAAUGAUGGGUUUGAAGUCUAGAAGAGCAGGCCAUGUGGUUACAUGAUAUCCA
ensembl:lncRNA